rnacentral:tRNA from 1 species
CUUCCCAUAGUUAAAUGGAUAUAACAGUUCCCUUCUAAGGAAUUAUUCUUGGUUCGAGUCCAAGUGGGAAGGCCA